UACAGAGGGUGCAAGCGUUGUUCGGAAUUAUUGGGCGUAAAGCGCGUGUAGGCGGCUUUGCAAGUCGGGUGUGAAAUCCCUCAGCUCAACUGAGGAAGUGCGCCCGAAACUGCAGAGCUUGAGUACCGGAGAGGAUGGCGGAAUUCCCCAAGUAGAGGUGAAAUUCGUAGAUAUGGGGAGGAACACCGGUGGCGAAGGCGGCCAUCUGGACGGAUACUGACGCUGGGACGCGAAAGCGUGGGUAGCAAACAGG
rnacentral:rRNA from 1 species